UUUCAACCUGAGAGUGCUACAUAUAUUAUCUUUAACAUUAUUUUUCAAGUCAAUUACGAAACACUUGCCAAAAAUGAAGUUUAGAUCAUCACAUUCUAUCCGUUAAAGUUAGGAAUCAUCUGCUUAGCAAGAGAUGUACAAGUAGUCAAAAAAAUAAUGUUCACAAAACAUGUAAACAAGGUUUUUGAAAAACUUUUUUCAGUCAAUAUGGCCACCUUCAUUAUCAAUCACAGUCCUUACACGUCGCCUGAAGGCCAUGCAUGAGUUGAUGAAAAACUCCUCUAAGAAAAUGACCCUUGCAGCCACUAUGGAGGUCUUCAGUGAGUCCACAUUUGGAUGUGAGGUCCUGUUGGUUUCCAUCUACAAAGUACCCUAUAUAGAAAAGUCCAGUGGUUCAAAUCUGGCGAGGAAAGGGAUCAUAUCUUUUUGAACCAGAAUCGAGCCAUGUUAUCUGCGCAGAACGUGUGAGAGGGGGAGCCGUCCUGAUUCCACACGUAAUUACUCUCCGUGGAGUUUGUCUUCAGUCAUGGUAAAGAUGGUUUACCUAAGUACCUUAUAGUAGGCCUCCUAGUCUAAUUUCUGCCCAGCCUUGAAAAAUAACAGAUACAUCUUCUUUCCAUCAGAGACACAACGCCGAGGACUAUUGUUUCGGUUAAAUAUUUGGUGUGGUAAGCCCCUUGGACCUCUUCUUUUGUUUCCUCAAGCCAUCGGUCUUUUCGGCAGUUGUGGAAUUCAUCAACUGUGAAAAUCUUCUUGUUCCAGAAAAUUAUCACAUUUUCCUUGCUCCAUAUAAGGAUUUUCUUCCAGCUCUCGAAUUCUUUGUCAGAAGGUGGGGUGGGGU
rnacentral:lncRNA from 1 species